rnacentral:rRNA from 1 species
GGGGGGGGGGGGGGGGGGGGGGGGGGGGGGGGGGGGGGGGGGCAGCAGGGGAAGGGGUGGCGCGUACGGGGGGCGAGUGGCGGACGGGUGGGGAAUACAUCGGAAUCGACUUUUUCGUGGGGGAUAACGUAGGGAAACUUACGCUAAUACCGCAUACGACCUACGGUGGAAAGCAGGGGAUCUUCGGACCUUGCGCGAUUGAAUGAGCCGCUGUCGGAUUAGCUAGUUGGCGGGGUAAAGGCCCACCAAGGCGACGAUGCGUAGCCGACCUGAGAGGGUGAUCGGCCACACUGGAACUGAGACACGGUCCAGACUCCUACGGGAGGCAGCAGUAGGGAAUCUUCCGCAAUGGGCGAAAGCCUGACGGAGCAACGCCGCGUGAGUGAUGAAGGUCUUCGGAUCGUAAAACUCUGUUAUUAGGGAAGAACAGAUGUGUAAGUAACUAUGCACGUCUUGACGGUACCUAAUCAGAAAGCCACGGCUAACUACGUG